rnacentral:rRNA from 1 species
UACGGAGGGGGCUAGCGUUGUUCGGAAUUACUGGGCGUAAAGCGCACGUAGGCGGCUUCUUAAGUCAGGGGUGAAAUCCUGGAGCUCAACUCCAGAACUGCCUUUGAUACUGAAGAUCUUGAGUUCGGGAGAGGUGAGUGGAACUGCGAGUGUAGAGGUGAAAUUCGUAGAUAUUCGCAAGAACACCAGUGGCGAAGGCGGCUCACUGGCCCGGAUACUGACGCUGAGGUACGAAGCGAUG